rnacentral:lncRNA from 1 species
AUGAUAGAGCUCAGAUUUGAACCCAGGCUUUUUUUUUUUGUCUCUUUCUAUUCUGUUUGCUUUGAUUCAGGGAGGAAGAAGAAACAGCGUGCAUCCUAUAGGUGUUCCCCAGGCCUGACUCCUGUGGAAGAAAUGGAGAUGAGAACUACAGGGGAAGUGGAGAGAGUAUGGAUAAGUGAGACAUGGAUGAAGAAGCUCUGGAGGGGGCAGAAGGCUCAGUCUAACAGGAUGAUCUGUGUUGCCUCUGGGCUAACUUCAGAAGAGCCAAGUGGCAGCUACUGACUCACCAUUUCCUGUGUCACGUAGGCCUCUGAUGUGAAUUAAGUAGAGAACUGAGCUGAAAAGAAAGAUAACAUGGAUGAUGAGGCAACAUUUACGAAGGAAAAUGAUAGAGGAAGAUGAGCAAUAAUACUUGUAAAAAGACCCAUACUUAAUAUACUGAAACACUACUCAAGGAUCGUUUACUUUGAUGGGAAGAAAGGAGGCAUUUGGUACUCCUGGAAGGAUAUCAUGCUUAGCAAGGACAUUGGUAAGUUGUUGAGUGUCUAAGAAGGCUACUAAGGUGAUGAAGGUCCUUGAGAUUAUGGCUAAUUAAGUCUGGUUGAAGGGACUGAGAAUGUUUAGUCUUGAGAAAGAAUCCAACACGAUAAGGAGUGAUAAAUCUUGCUCUGUUUGGCCCCAGAUGGACUGAAUUAGGAGCAAGGGGUAGAAAUCAUGCAGAAGUAAAUUAAGGUUUGAUGUCAGGAAAAAACUACUCGACAGUGGAAAGCUGUCCAAGAGUACAAUAAUAGCUAACAUUGAUGUAACUCUUUAAUGUAUUUACUAAUCCCAUUUUUACAUUUUAACAACAACUCUGGGAGGCACAUGCUAUUCUUAUCCUCAUUUUACAGAUGAAAAAGAAUCUGAGGCAGACAAAGGUUAAGGAGAUUGCCUAGGCUCAUGUGGCUAAUGGGUAUCUGGAAGUGGAUUUGAACCCAGGCUUUCCUGUUUCCAAAUAUAGUGCUCUGUCCACUAUGUCAACUAGUUGCCUCAGGAGUUGAAUUUUUGCUUUAGAAAGUUGUGUCUUUCAUCCUCAUUGGAAGUCUUGAGUCAAAGGCUAGACAGCAACUCAUUGGGUAAGGUAGGUCAUUGGUGGGAUUCAUGUCUAGUAGAGUCUUGCUGGCUUCUGAAAUUCCUUCUGAUUCUGAGGUUUGGUGAUUCCAUGUGCCUGAGGUAGCACCAAGCAUCAACCCACUUCUCUAAGGUUCUGCUAUAUGAGGCACCUUCCUUUUGCUAUAUAGCCCUGCUAAGCCUGUUUAGCAUUCUG